GUAUAAAGUGGCGAACGGCUGAGUAACACGUGGGCAACCUGCCCUUUGCACUGGGAUAGCCUCGGGAAACCGAGGUUAAUACCGGAUACUCCAUAUUUGUCGCAUGGCGAAUAUGGGAAAGCUCCGGCGGCAAAGGAUGGGCCCGCGGCCUGUUAGCUAGUUGGUGGGGUAGUGGCCUACCAAGGCAAUGAUGGGUAGCCGGGUUGAGAGACCGACCGGCCAGAUUGGGACUGAGACACGGCCCAGACUCCUACGGGAGGCAGCAGG
rnacentral:rRNA from 1 species